GCUAUCUCAUCAACAAGAAUAACUUCACCUACUCCCACUAGUACAUGUACCCCUUCAGCUUGCACUGAGCAAAGCAGUGAUACUGUUAGUGCAUUAGUUAUCAGUUUCCCUAUCACUGUUAUACUGUCAGUAAUAAUAUCAUCAGUUUUAUCUUCAAUCAUCACAUAUUGCUGUUGUGUAUCAAGAUCAGUAAAGUCUUACAGUGUUACUAAUCCAUCAACAGCAGCUGCUGAUUAUGAGAUACCAAUGAAAACCAGUUCCCUUGAGAUGAAGGAUAAUAUGGCGUAUGGUCAUGUUAGUGUUGGUAAUAGAUCUACCAGUAGAACAACACAAACAGUUUAUGAAACUGUUCAAUCAUAAACUACAGCUACUACUAAUGGAAUUGUUUUUGUUUAUGCAUAGAUGCAUGAUAGUUAUUUCUUUCAUAACUUUGUGUUUUUCCUAAUUUGAAAAUGACAAUAUUAUGUCCC